rnacentral:lncRNA from 1 species
CCCGAAUGCCAUGGGAAAAGAUCUAAGGAUAUCCAUCCCCCAUUGUGCAAACGGCAAUGGGGCACUCAAGGGUCUAAGUAUGGAGGUGGGCUAUCUUUGGAUAUUCGUAUAUCUUUGACACCGAUCACACCUUCUGACAUAGUCAAUGGAGUCAUGGUAUAUUGUAGGUCAGUAAUAACCUUGUUGAAGCAGUUUGUGGG